rnacentral:misc_RNA from 1 species
GAUGAAGAACGCAGCGAAAUGCGAUAAGUAGUGUGAAUUGCAGAAUUCAGUGAAUCAUCGAAUCUUUGAACGCACAUUGCGCCCCUUGGUAUUCCAUGGGGCAUGCCUGUUCGAGCGUCAUUUGUACCUUCAAGCUCUGCUUGGUGUUGGGUGUUUGUCUCGCCUCUGCGUGUAGACUCGCCUCAAAACAAUUGGCAGCCGGCGUAUUGAUUUCGGAGCGCAGUACAUCUCGCGCUUUGCACUCAUAACGACGACGUCCAAAAGUACAUUUUUACACUCUUGACCUCGGAUCAGGUAGGGAUACCCGCUGAACUUAAGCAUUUCAAUAAGCGGAGGA